rnacentral:rRNA from 1 species
AUUGAACGCUGGCGGCAUGCUUUACACAUGCAAGUCGAACGGUAACAGGCCUUCGGGUGCUGACGAGUGGCGAACGGGUGAGUAAUGCAUCGGAACGUGCCCAGAGGUGGGGGAUAACGCAGCGAAAGCUGUGCUAAUACCGCAUGUGAUCUGAGGAUGAAAGCGGGGGACCAGGCAGCAAUGUUUGGCCUCGCGCCUUUGGAGCGGCCGAUGUCAGAUUAGGUAGUUGGUGGGGUAAAGGCCUACCAAGCCGACGAUCUGUAGCUGGUCUGAGAGGACGACAGGCCACACUGGAACGGAAACAGGGCCAAUGCUCCUGAGGUAGGGAGCAGUGGGGAAUGUUGGACAAUGGGCGGAAGCAUGAUCCAGCAAUGCCGAGUGCGGUAAGGAGGCCCUCGGGUUGUAAAGCGCUUUUGUACGGAACGAAAAGGCUUUGGCUAAGACCUAGGGCUGAUGACGGUACCGUAAGAAUAAGCACCGGCUAACUACGUG